rnacentral:rRNA from 1 species
AACGAACGCUGGCGGCGUGCCUAAUACAUGCAAGUCGAACGGGGAAAGCUUUCGGGUGAGUACUAGUGGCGCACGGGUGAGGAACGCGUGGAUAAUCUGCCUUAGAGUGGGGGAUAACUAGUCGAAAGAUUAGCUAAUACCGCAUAAGACCACAGGAGCUGCGGCUCAAGGGGUCAAAGGUUUUUCGCUCUAAGAUGAGUCCGCGUAAGAUUAGCUAGUUGGUGAGGUAACGGCUCAGCAAGGCGACGAUCUUUAACUGGUCUGAGAGGAUGAUCAGUCACACUGGAACUGAGACACGGUCCAGACUCCUACGGGAGGCAGCAGUAGGGAAUAUUGCACAAUGGAGGAAACUCUGAUGCAGCGACGCCGCGUGAGUGAUGAAGGCCUUCGGGUCGUAAAGCUCUGUCGCAGGGGAAUAACACAAUGAAGGUACCCUGUAAGAAAGGAUCGGCUAACUUCGUGCCAGCCGCCGCUGUAACAC